rnacentral:rRNA from 1 species
UACGGGGGGGGCAAGCGUUGUUCGGAAUUACUGGGCGUAAAGGGCUCGUAGGCGGCCAACUAAGUCAGACGUGAAAUCCCUCGAGCUUAACCGGGGAACUGCGUCUGAUACUGGAUGGCUUGAGUUUGGGAGAGGGAUGCGGAAUUCCAGGUGUAGCGGUGAAAUGCGUAGAUAUCUGGAGGAACACCGGUGGCGAAGGCGGCGAUCCUGGACCAACACUGACGCUGAGUGAGCGAAAGCCAGGGGAGGCAAAACGGGGAU